GAGGAAUAUUGGACAAUGGGUGGAAGCCUGAUCCAGCCAUCCCGCGUGUAGGAUGACGGCCUUAUGGGUUGUAAACUACUUUUAUCUGGGGAUAAACCUGCUCUCGUGAGAGUAGCUGAAGGUACCAGAAGAAUAAGCACCGGCUAACUCCGUGCCAGCAGCCGCGGUAAUACGGAGGGUGCAAGCGUUAUCCGGAUUUAUUGGGUUUAAAGGGUCCGUAGGCGGACUAAUAAGUCAGUGGUGAAAGCCCAUCGCUUAACGAUGGAACUGCCAUUGAUACUGUUAGUCUUGAGUGAUGUUGAAGUGGCUGGAAUGUGUAGUGUAGCGGUGAAAUGCUUAGAUAUUACGCAGAACACCAAUUGCGAAGGCAGGUCACUAAGUAUCAACUGACGCUGAUGGACGAAAGCGUGGGGAGCGAAC
rnacentral:rRNA from 1 species